AACAGAAAAGGGGAGACAGCUCUGUGUCUCCUGCGUUCGGAAGAACAUUUGAGGUAUAGCAAAAAAUCAAUGGUCAAGAUAUCGUUUCGGUCAUCAUCUUUUUUUAUUGGCGAUUCGAUUGUUGCUCGUCCACAU